ensembl:rRNA 5S_rRNA 5S ribosomal RNA
GUCAGCAGCCAUAGCACCUGCAGUUCAGCCUCGGUAAUCCACCUGAAGCUAAGCUGGUUUGGGCCUGGUCAGUAUUUAGAUGGGAGACGAACUAGGAGAGCUGGGAUGCUGCUGGAA